AGUGAACGUUGGCGGCGUGGAUUAGGCAUGCAAGUCGAGCGAUCGUAGCAAUACGGGAGCGGCAAACGGGGUAGGAAUACAUCGGAACGUACCUUUUGGUUGAGAAUAGCGUUGGGAAACUGACGGUAAUACUCAAUAAAGUCGAGAGACCAAAGGUUUACUGCCGGAAGAGCGGCCGAUGCGAUAUUAGGUAGUUGGUGGGGUAAUGGCCUACCAAGCCUGAGAUGUCUAGGGGUGCGAGAGCAUGGCCCCACCACUGGACUGAGAUACUGCCCAGACACCUACGGGUGGCUGCAGUCGAGGAUCUUCGUCAAUGGGCGAAAGCCUGAACGAGCGACGCCGCGUGCGGGAUGGAGGCCCUUGGGUUGUAAACCGCUGUCAGGGGGAUGAAACCGUAAGGUAGACAGAGCCCCAGAGGAAGCACGGGCUAAGUUCGUGCCAGCAGCCGCGGUAAU
rnacentral:rRNA from 1 species